rnacentral:rRNA from 1 species
AGUGAACGCUGGCGGUAGGCCUAACACAUGCAAGUCGAACGGCAGCACAGUAAGAGCUUGCUCUUACGGGUGGCGAGUGGCGGACGGGUGAGGAAUACAUCGGAAUCUACUUUUUCGUGGGGGAUAACGUAGGGAAACUUACGCUAAUACCGCAUAAGACCUACGGGUGAAAGCAGGGGAUCUUCGGACCUUGCGCGAUUGAAUGAGCCGAUGUCGGAUUAGCUAGUUGGCGGGGUAAAGGCCCACCAAGGCGGCGAUCCGUAGCUGGUCUGAGAGGAUGAUCAGCCACACUGGAACUGAGACACGGUCCAGACUCCUACGGGAGGCAGCAGUGGGGAAUAUUGGACAAUGGGCGCAAGCCUGAUCCAGCCAUACCGCGUGGGUGAAGAAGGCCUUCGGGUUGUAAAGCCCUUUUGUUGGGAAAGAAAAGCAGCAGGUUAAUACCCCGCUGUUCUGACGGUACCCAAAGAAUAAGCACCGGCUAACUUCGUG